UACAGAGGUCUCGAGCGUUGUUCGGAUUCAUUGGGCGUAAAGGGUGCGUAGGUGGCCGUGUAAGUCAGAUGUGAAAUCCCGGAGCUCAACUCUGGAACUGCAUUUGAUACUGCGUGGCUAGAGUACUGGAGAGGAGACUGGAAUUUACGGUGUAGCAGUGAAAUGCGUAGAUAUCGUAAGGAAGACCAGUGGCGAAGGCGAGUCUCUGGACAGUUACUGACACUGAGGCACGAAGGCUAGGGGAGCAAACGGG
rnacentral:rRNA from 1 species